AACGAACGCUGGCGGCAUGCCUAACACAUGCAAGUCGAACGAGACCUUCGGGUCUAGUGGCGCACGGGUGCGUAACGCGGGGGAACCUGCCCUUAGGUUCGGAAUAACUCCCCGAAAGGGGUGCUAAUACCGGAUAAUGUCUUCGGACCAAAGAUUUAUCGCCUUUGGAUGGGCCCGCGUUGGAUUAGCUAGUUGGUAGGGUAAAAGCCUACCAAGGCGACGAUCCAUAGCUGGUCAGAGAGGAUGAUUAGCCACACUGGGACUAAGACACGGCCCAGAAUCCUACGCAAGGCAGCAGAGGGGUAUAUUGGACAAUGGACGAAGGCCUGAUCCAGCACUGCCGGGUAAGUGAUGAAGGCCUUAGGGUAGUAAAGCUCUUUUACACGGGGUGAUAAUGACGGUACCGGGAGAAUAAGCACCGGCUAACUCCGUG
rnacentral:rRNA from 1 species